rnacentral:lncRNA from 12 species
UGCAAAACUACUGAUCAGGUGCUUGGUGAUAGGACUGCAACCACAACAAGAAAGUGAGAUUACAGAUAGUGAAAUUCUGAAAUGCUCUCUUAGGCUGAAUCAGCUGUAAGAACACCCUUGUUCUUGGUAACAGAUGAAGAAAGCUUAUGGAAGAGACAGAUUCUGGAUAACUGGGUAGUAGCAAUGUGCAAGAAAAGAAGUGUAAAAUCUAGGGCUAAGACUGAAAUACCAGAUGGGAAGAGGAUCAUAAAUUUCUGUUAUAUCUGUAUCUAGAUCUGCAGGAGGACCUAUGAGUAAGUAGAAGCAUGGUUAUGAAUGGGUUCUGGAGCCUGCUUGCUAACAUAGGCUUGUUGCUGUGGACAUUAUAAGGGUUCACUUUUAAUCGCUGUCAGCUAGCAUGAUAUCACAAAUGCCAUAAGAAAAUAAAUAUAUAGUCUUAUGAGGAUGGCUACA